UCUUCUUCUACCCGAGAACAGAGAGGGAGCUUGAGAAGAGAGAAACAGAGGCGAGAGAGUGAGACUGAGAGGGAGACUUGAAAGAACAGAGAGAUCGAGAGAGAGAAAACACGAUCAAGAGAGAGAGAGGGCCGAUCGUGGUGGACCCAGACCGAACCGGAGAAGAGAGAAUCAGGGGAGGCCGGUCCUCCAUGGGUCGCCGGAGGACGCGACUUCCGACGGCCUGGAGCGGGACUUCCGGUGGGUGAGCUGGGUCGGCGAGGCAGAGCCGAUUUUCGGCGGAACGGAGGUGCGAUUUUCGGUGGGCGACGCCGGUGAGCAAGUUGGGUUUGCAAUGGGUGAUUUCCGGUGACUUUUUCGGCGAUUCCAGCUCACUGAUUUUCGGUGGAUUUUCUGCACAAUCAUUGAUGUAAAAGGUCGAUUCUGACGCUAAUGGAAAGUCCAGAUGUCAACAGUAAGACGAAGUCUUUUCCUUGUAAGGGCGUAGACCUCGCUGAGAGCGAUAGUUCGUGAUGAACCGGCCGGACCCUAGUAUUGUAUAGUAUGUUUUGUUUCUUUUAGAGAAAUCAAAGUGUUGUAAAGAAUUAUUAAUAGAAAGGUUUAAAAAUAGGAAGUUUUAAAUUUAUAUGUUGUAAAUGCACGCUUCCAUUUAAAAUGUUUGUUUUUAGUA